GACGAACGCUGGCGGCGUGCUUAACACAUGCAAGUCGAACGGAAAGGCCCUGCUUGCAGGGUACUCGAGUGGCGAACGGGUGAGUAACACGUGGGUGAUCUGCCCUGCACUUUGGGAUAAGCUUGGGAAACUGGGUCUAAUCCCGGAUAGGAGCCCUUUUUAGUGUGAUGGUUGGAGAGUUUUUUCGGUGUAGGAUGAGCUCGCGGCCUAUCAGCUUGUUGGUGGGGUUAUGGCCUACCAAGGCGGCGACGGGUAGCCGGCCUGAGAGGGUGGACGGCCACAUUGGGACUGAGAUACGGCCCAGACGCCUACGGGAGGCAGCAGUGGGGAAUAUUGCACAAUGGGCGCAAGCCUGAUGCAGCGACGCCGCGUGGGGGAUGACGGCCUUCGGGUUGUAAACUCCUUUCGCUAGGGACGAAGCUUUUUGUGACGGUACCUAGAGAAGAAGCACCGGCUAACUACGUG
rnacentral:rRNA from 1 species